GACGGAGGGUGCUAGCGUUGUUCGGAAUUACUGGGCGUAAAGGGCGCGUAGGCGGCCUGGUCAGUCGGAUGUGAAAGCCCGGGGCUCAACCCCGGAACGGCAUCCGAGACGGCCAGGCUGGAGACCGGGAGAGGAGAGUGGAAUUCCUGGUGUAGCGGUGAAAUGCGCAGAUAUCAGGAAGAACACCAAUGGCGAAAGCAGCUCUCUGGGACGGUACUGACGCUGAGACGCGAAAGCGUGGGGAGCGAACAGG
rnacentral:rRNA from 1 species